UAGGGAAUCUUCGGCAAUGGACGAAAGUCUGACCGAGCAACGCCGCGUGAGUGAAGAAGGUUUUCGGAUCGUAAAACUCUGUUGUUAGAGAAGAACAAGGACGUUAGUAACUGAACGUCCCCUGACGGUAUCUAACCAGAAAGCCACGGCUAACUACGUGCCAGCAGCCGCGGUAAUACGUAGGUGGCAAGCGUUGUCCGGAUUUAUUGGGCGUAAAGCGAGCGCAGGCGGUUUCUUAAGUCUGAGGUGAAAGCCCCCGGCUCAACCGGGGAGGGUCAUUGGAAACUGGGAGACUUGAGUGCAGAAGAGGAGAGUGGAAUUCCAUGUGUAGCGGUGAAAUGCGUAGAUAUAUGGAGGAACACCAGUGGCGAAGGCGGCUCUCUGAUCUGUAACUGACGCUGAGGCUCGAAAGCGUGGGGAGCAAACAGG
rnacentral:rRNA from 1 species